rnacentral:rRNA from 1 species
UACGAAGGGGGCUAGCGUUGCUCGGAGUUACUGGGCGUAAAGCGCACGUAGGCGGUCUUUUAAGUCGGGGGUGAAAUCCUGGAGCUCAACUCCAGAACUGCCUUCGAUACUGGAAGACUUGAGUCCGGGAGAGGUGAGUGGAACUGCGAGUGUAGAGGUGAAAUUCGUAGAUAUUCGCAAGAACACCAGUGGCGAAGGCGGCUCACUGGCCCGGUACUGACGCUGAGGUGCGAAAGCGUGGGGAGCAAACAGG